rnacentral:rRNA from 1 species
CAGCCUGAUGCAGCGACGCCGCGUGAGGGAUGACGGCCUUCGGGUUGUAAACCUCUUUCAGCAGGGACGAAGCGCAAGUGACGGUACCUGUAGAAGAAGGACCGGCCAACUACGUGCCAGCAGCCGCGGUAAUACGUAGGGUCCGAGCGUUGUCCGGAAUUACUGGGCGUAAAGAGCUCGUAGGUGGUUUGUCGCGUUGUUCGUGAAAACUCACAGCUUAACUGUGGGCGUGCGGGCGAUACGGGCAGACUUGAGUACUGCAGGGGAGACUGGAAUUCCUGGUGUAGCGGUGGAAUGCGCAGAUAUCAGGAGGAACACCGGUGGCGAAGGCGGGUCUCUGGGCAGUAACUGACGCUGAGGAGCGAAAGCGUGGGGAGCGAACAGGAUUAGAUACCCUGGUAGUCCACGCCGUAAACGGUGGGUACUAGGUGUGGGUUUCCUUCCUUGGGAUCCGUGCCGUAGCUAACGCAUUAAGUACCCCGCCUGGGGAGUACGGCCGCAAGGCUAAAACUCAAAGAAAUUGACGGGGGCCCGCACAAGCGGCGGAGCAUGUGGAUUAAUUCGAUGCAACGCGAAGAACCUUACCUGGGUUUGACAUGCACAGGACGUGCCUAGAGAUAGGUAUUCCCUUGUG